rnacentral:rRNA from 1 species
GGUCAAGCUACAAAGGGCUCACGGAGGAUACCUAGGCACACAGAGGCGAUGAAGGACGUGGUUACCUGCGAUAAGUCUCGGGGAGUUGGAAGCACACUUUGAUCCGGGAAUUUCCGAAUGGGGCAACCCCUUGAAC